rnacentral:rRNA from 1 species
GUACACUCCUACGGGAGGCAGCAGUGGGGAAUAUUGGACAAUGGGCGCAAGCCUGAUCCAGCCAUGCCGCGUGAGUGAUGAAGGCCCUAGGGUUGUAAAGCUCUUUCACCGGUGAAGAUAAUGACGGUAACCGGAGAAGAAGCCCCGGCUAACUUCGUGCCAGCAGCCGCGGUAAUACGAAGGGGGCUAGCGUUGUUCGGAUUUACUGGGCGUAAAGCGCACGUAGGCGGACUAUUAAGUCAGGGGUGAAAUCCCGGGGCUCAACCCCGGAACUGCCUUUGAUACUGGUAGUCUUGAGUUCGAGAGAGGUGAGUGGAAUUCCGAGUGUAGAGGUGUAAUUCGUAGAUAUUCGGAGGAACACCAGUGGCGAAGGCGGCUCACUGGCUCGAUACUGACGCUGAGGUGCGAAAGCGUGGGGAGCAAACAGGAUUAGAAACCCUUGUAGUCCC